rnacentral:rRNA from 1 species
CAGCAGCCACGGUAAAACGUAGGGUGCAAGCGUUAAUCGGAAUUACUGGGCGUAAAGCGUGCGCAGGCGGUUAUAUAAGACAGAUGUGAAAUCCCCGGGCUCAACCUGGGAACUGCAUUUGUGACUGUAUAGCUAGAGUACGGCAGAGGGGGAUGGAAUUCCGCGUGUAGCAGUGAAAUGCGUAGAUAUGCGGAGGAACACCGAUGGCGAAGGCAAUCCCCUGGGCCUGUACUGACGCUCAUGCACGAAAGCGUGGGGAGCAAACAGGAUUAGAUACCCCAGUAGUCCCUGUCUCUUAUAC